rfam:Gossypium hirsutum cultivar TM-1 chromosome 16, whole genome shotgun sequence
AGCCGUGCGGUGAGCACAGAGCGAAUUAUUCUUUCGCCUUUUACUAAAGAAUACCGUGUGCUCGCCGCCCAAAGCGGCAUACGCCAGUUUUUGGAAGGUUGUUCCUUUUUGGAACGC